rnacentral:rRNA from 1 species
AGCAGCAGCCGCGGGAAUACGAAGGGUGCAAGCGUUACUCGGAAUUACUGGGCGUAAAGCGUGCGUAGGUGGUGGUUUAAGUCCGUUGUGAAAGCCCUGGGCUCAACCUGGGAAUUGCAGUGGAUACUGGAUCACUAGAGUGUGGUAGAGGAUAGUGGAGUUUCCGGUGUAGCAGUGAAAUGCGUAGAGAUCGGAAGGAACAUCUGUGGCGAAGGCGACUAUCUGGGCCAACACUGACACUGAGGCACGAAAGCGUGGGGAGCAAACAGGAUUAGAUACCCCGGUAGUCCCUGUCUCUUAUAC